rnacentral:lncRNA from 1 species
AACAAAUAAUUAAAAGAGUUAGUUGGUUCUUAAUUACCUCAACUUGAUUGCACCUGACAGCCAGAUGCAAGAGUGUCUCCCCAUCAUCAUCCUUUGCAUACACAAGCUCUCCCAAUUUCUCCACCAAAACCUUCAAUGUCACAAGCUGACCGUGCUUCACACAAAGGUGCAACACAGUCUGGCCGCGAUGCAGUCUCUCCAUAGCAGGUAUAUGACUCUCUUCAAGCAGCUCCUUCAACACCCCAUCAUGCCCUUUCAUGGCUGCGAUAUGAACCGGGUUCAUGCCUUGAUCAUCAAUCCUCCAACACAUCUCAGGGGCUACUGAUAACAACUUCUUGGCGAUCUCGACAUUCCCUUGUGCUGCUGCAAUGUGAAGAGAUGAUGAAUUUUUGGAGUCAACAUCUCGAGCUAGCUCUGAGUUCAUCCUCAACACCUCUUCCACGAUGCCCAUUUGCCCACUCAUUGUUGCUAUAUGUAGAAGCUUUCUUGAACUUGCAAAUGAAACUUCAUCAACAAGAUGUGGAUCUUCUUGCAGCAGUUGUUGGAAUGUUGAUAAAUCUCCCUUUCUUGCAGCAUCGUAUAGUUUCUUUUCUGCUGUUGCUUCUCCAACCAUUUUUUCCAAUUCUAUUAAUGGAGUUUUCAGAUUUUCCUUUUUCGCCUCUUUUUUUAUAGGAAAAUGCUGAAUGCACAUAAUAUGUACGCACAUAAUUGGAUAUUUUUGUCAUUUUAUAAAUCUCCAUAAAUUAUGGAGUUAAUACAAUUUCAAUUGAAUUUCUAAUUUACGUAAUCAUCCUUUGAGAUAAUUAAGGAAUGUACAAUUCAAAUUUCAAUCUUAUAUCUUUCCUUAAUAAUAAAUUACUUAUUUCCUUAAAUUAAAUUAUGAAUCAAUUUUCAUUAUACAACUUUAUUUAUCAAUGAUUUACAUCCUAUAAAUUAGCUCAAACUCAACUAGAAGAAUCAAGUAAUUAAAAUUGCAGUCAAAUUAUUGUUUCAUAUUCUUAUUUAAUUAGUUAUAUUUAAUUAGUUAGUUAUUUUUCUUCAAUAACGUUACAUGACUAAUUAAUGAUUUAAUAUGUAUUGAUGAAAAAAUUGAUGAACUCAUCAACUUAACAUUCUAAAUUCAUAUAUUAUAUAGAUUUAAAUUCAAAUUUAUUAUUAUAAUUAUUAUUUUGAAAUAUAAGAAUAAUUAUGUUGAAUGUUAUGCUACGGAUACCGCUAUUGGGUAAUGUAGCAAAGGAUUAGAGUGAUGUUUGAGAGGUAACAUGUUUGAAUCCGUUAGUGAUAAGUUCCAGUUUAUAGCUCAUUAUUAGUGUCUUUCUUUUAUUUUAUUUUUCUUUUGUUGCUAUUUUAAUUUAUGUUUUAUUUUUUUGUUGAAAUUAGAAUUAAAAAAAUAUAAAUAUAAAUAGAUGACUAUAAUAAAUCCCUAAGCAAACUCAAAUCGGACUCGCUACAUCGAGCCGGACCGACUCAAUAGACAUAUGCGGUGAGGUUCGGGUAUGAUUUUUCGGACCGAAAAAUAUUUGGGUCGGUCCACGUCUUAACCCACUCCAACUCGUCGAACCUGGACCGACUCGUAUCUUUUAUAAAAUAAUUAUUUAAUUUAUAUAUUUCUAAUAAUAUUAAGAAAUAAAUUAAAUUUUAUCUAAUAUAAUAACUUAUCUAAUAUCUGUAAGUAAAUUAAGUAAUCUGUGUAGUUUUGUACCGACCCGUACCUUUAACAUUUCUUUUUAUGAACUUGUUGUGCUUGAAUUAUUAUGUAAUGGAUUGAUUUUAAUUUAUGUAUUUUUGUUGUAAUUGUGGAUUGAGAAUAUUUGAGACUAAGAUAUGUGUUUGUAUGGAAUUUUUUUAAGUUUUAAAUCUGAAAAUUGAGUGUAAAAUAGGAAAAAUAAAAAUUUGAAAUUUCAGCAGGUCGGACCCGGACCAAUCUGGACCCGAUAUUCGGGUUCGGUGCGGUCCUGGGUGGUCAGUCCUCCCUUACGAUUCGGUUCGAGUCGGUCUACGAUUUGAAAAUUUUCGGAUCGUUGGUCCCGACGAGUGGGUCCGAUUCGAUGCUAUUAUUUGAUUAUUAUGACAUUAUAAAAUAGAAGUGAAUUACUAUAUCUGAGAAACAAAUAUGAUAAGUUGACCACAUUGCUGAAAUAAGAUUUUAUUAAAAAGAAAAGAAACAACAACGGAGAACCAAAAACCCUUGAAAGCACAAAGCUGCAGACUAAGGGCCGAGCCUCGUUAAAACCUCAUAACAGCUGAGGAAAAAGAGUACUCGUCAAGGACCAAGGUUGACAGAGCUGAGUUAGGAGGUCUCAAGGAUUCCGGCCGAACCAUUACCCUUAGGCCUCCCGGCUCACAACCAAUCCAGGACCGAGAGAACAAAACCAAAAAAUCAAGCGAAACGAGUAAAAUAGGGAAUAGAAACAUCAUCCUUGACAAAAUCAUUUAAACCAGCAAUGGCAUGAGGCCAAAAACCCUCCUCCGAAGCUUGAGAAGCCAAAAAAUCCGCCGAUCUGUUGCCCUCACGAAAAAUGUGAGAAAUGCGCCACGUGAAAGUAUGGAGUUUGGAGAGAGCAAGCUGCCACCGAGGCUUGAAUCUCCAAGGAACCGUCUCAGAGAGCGACUGAAGAAGCUGAACCACGUAAGAAGAAUCCGACUCAAACCAAACUCUCUCCCAUUUAGCGCGAUGCGCAGAUUCAAUAGCAAUAAUAAUAGCUAAAAGCUCUGCUUCGAACGCAACCCCGUGGCCGCCUGAAAAAUGAUAACAACCAAGAACGUCAUUGAAGGCAUUCCUAAAGACACCCCCCGCAUGAAUCCUCCCUUCACGGACCGAACCAUCAGUAUUAACUUUAAUCCAAGACGGCGGGGGAAGGUGCCAAGCAACGUAAAUAUAGGAGAAAGGCUUCCUGGGUUGUCCAGCGAUGGAAAGAUUCUUAAGAAUGAGAAGAUCAGAAACCGAGUUGGCCAUAGUGCCAAGGACGAAAUUGUUGGCAGCUUCACAAAGAAAAACUCGGACCUGCUUGAGAAUCAAGUGGCGCGAAGGUGUUAAAUUUUUGUGUAUGACAUUGUUGCGGUGAGACCAGAGACUCCAUAGGAGAGAGACCACCCCAACUUUCCACAAAUUGCCAACUUGUUUGCUGUUUUUCUGAUGGAUAGAGAAUCGAAUCAUGCUGCCCACGUCCCACGGCAAAGUUUGCUCAAUCAAAAACCAUCGAAAGACAUCCGCCCAAAUAGAAGCCGAGAAGGAGCAGUUCAACAGAACAUGAUCCAUCGUCUCUUCCGCUGCCGAGCAUAAAGGGCAGCGGUUCGGCCCCUGAAAACCAAGGAGGCGAUUCAUAUCAAAGGUAGGGAGCUUGCCAACAAUAGUGCGCCAGACAAAGAGAGAUCGCCGAGCGGGGAUAAAAGGGGCCCAAAUCCAGGAGCCCCAGUCGACCUUAGGGAACUGAGGUCGUAUGUGAGCAAAGGCCGAAGCAGCAGUAAUGUUCCCGAAACCCGAGUGAAUCCAGGAUCUGUCGUCCGCCAAUCCAGGAAUGGGGGUAGAUAUGAUGUCGAGAGCAAUGCGCGGGAAAGACUGUAUAAAACUAUAAGUGAGGUGCCACUUAUUAUUAAAGUAGAAGUCAGAAAUCUUCUGAGAGAAAUAGGGAGUCAUGAACUCCGGAAUAUGAAGUUUGUCGAUCAGCCGAUAUCCGAGCCAAUUAUCUCUCCAAAAAUAAAUUGUAUCUCCAUUGCCAAUCGUGCAGAAGGUAUCCGAAACAAUCUCCCGAAUCGUCCUUAUAACACCAGUCCAAAUCGACGAACUCGCCCAUUGGGAAGCCCAAUCCAUGGUCUGAGUGAGAUAUUUCUGACGAAGCAGCCGAUAGCCGAAGCUGUUCAUGUUCAUAAUAUACCAACCCAGCCGAAACAUGAAACUAUUAUUGAUGUCAGAGAAAGAUUUGACUCCAAUGCCGCCAUGUUCCUUCAGAGCACGAGCUCUGAUCCAACUCACGGAAAAGAGGGUUUCUUCAUAGUACUCCCAGUCCAGAUGAACGAUCUACAAGCUCUGUCAAGAGCAUGCAGAAGUUUCACCGGCCAUUUAUAAACAGCAUGCUAUGUACCGCAGCACUGUUGAUAACAGAAGAACUAGGCAGAGCCUGCCCGCCAUAGAGAGUUGACCACCUUGCCACCUAGGGAAAUGGGCAAGAAUCCGAUCAUAGAUAGGUCGAAGCUUAGCAGAAGAAGCUCGACCCGAGAAAAUAGGCACUCCCAAGUAUGUGAAAGGCAUGGAGCCAAUGUUGAAGUCCAAAAUCCGUUGAAGCCGAGAACGUCGCCCAGGAGACACCCCUUUCCCGAAGUAAAGAGUAGACUUAUGCUUGUUGCAAUAUUGACCAGAGACCGUGGCAUAUUUUUCAAGGUGAGAUCAACGAAGUUAAUUUGUGAGGAUCGAGCAACUUGUGUGAUCAAUGAAGUUUGUGAAAUUUAAUCCAUAUAGAAUUUUAAUUAUGUCUAUUUGCAAUUGUAGAAGAUGUCAAUGCUAAUUGACAUGUGAAAUAUGUUAAUUUUAAUCCAUAAAUAUGUUAAUUGCCUUUAUAGAUUGACAUGUGAAAUGAAGAAAUUCGUUUAUUGAGGACAUGGAUAUUCGAGAGCCAAUGAUUUGUAGGAUUCAAACAUUAUAAUUUACUUGUUCUAAAUAUAUUGUGAUAUGUAUGAUGAAUUUUAUACGUUGGAUGAUUAAUUAAAAUGUAUAAGCGUUUUAGUGGGCAUCUUCAAUACGUGUGCGUAUGUUGUUUUAUAAAAUACGAAAAUAGGAGCCGGUGGUUUCGGAUAAGCAGAAUAAUCUUUUGGUUCGUAUUCCUGAUGAGAGUGAGAUUGUUGCUGCUGUGUUUGGUAUGGAUGUUAAUAGUGCUCCUGGAUCGGAUGGGUUUCCGGGAAUGUUUUUUCAAAGGGUUAAUAUAGCCAAAAAAUACACGAACUAUCACCAAAUUUGCAAUUUGCACAUGACCUUCAAAAAUAGCCUCAGAAUACAUCACAUUUUAAUUUUGUUAUAAUUUGCACAUGCGUUGACCAUCACCUUAAGUGUAGUUGACGUGGCAGCCGGAAAUUGCAGACGUGGACUAACCGACGGGCAUGUAAAACGACGUCGUUUUGUCAAGCUUUUUAAAUUAAAAAAANAAGGUGGGUCCAUUAGUGGCAAAUGGUAGUAAAUAUAGAAAAAGAAAAAGAGUAAAAGUGUACAAAAAGCACAAUAGGGCAUUAAAUUGUGGACAAAUUUUUAAAGGCAAGUAGGGCAUUAAAUUGUGGACGGAGGGAGUAUUUAUUAUGGUUUUCAAUUAUAUUAAUUAUUGGUUAUUUGAUUGGAUAAUAUUGAUUGGAUAAUGUAAUUUAUAAUUUUAAUCUUUUACUUCAAUUUAUUUACAAAAUUUAAUGACAAUUCUAAUCUUCUAAUUAAAUUUAUUUACACUCUUCUUAUUUUUAUAGUAUAUAUAGUAACAUUUCUUUUUUAUUAUUAUUUAAUGAAUAACUUAAAUGAUUGCAGACAUUCGAAACAUGAUAAGUCUUAUUAGCUAGAUAGCCAUAUGUAGCUAAUUUAUCUACGCGAGAUCUUAAUGGUGGCGAGAGAACCUUCUUAUUAGUGUAAACCAUGCUUAUAGGGAGGCCAACUUGGCGGCGCAUAGUCUGGCUAAGUUCUCGAGGGAUUGUGGGGAGUCCGUUUUUUGGACAAGAGAUUUCCCUAGAUGGUUGAGGGACAUUGUAGACAAUGAUUUGAAGUAAUUUAAUCUUAUUCUUCCGUUUUCAAAAAAAAAAAGAAAAAAGAUAGCCAUAUGUAGCUAAUUUAUCGGGACCAAUUCCUCUACCUUUUUGGGUAGAGUAGAAUUAUGCAAUCUAAAGAAUAUAAUAUGGUUGUUACAGUGCCUAAAAAAACAAAAAAAUAUGGUUGUUACAGGAAUUUUAGUGUUAGAAAAGUAGUCACAUGAUGAAAAAGGGUGAAACUAUAUUCAAAAUAUUUCUUGUCGUUUAUCGUUGUCUAAGACAUAGUAAUCUAGACAUGAUCAACUAGGUACGUACGAUUCAAUCUAUAUGUUUUUUUAAUGUAUAUUUGUCACGUAGGUAUGCAUUCAAAAUAACAGGAGUACUGUUUUGAGAGACAUAUUUGUGUAAAUAUAGUUGUUAAUUAGUGCAGAGUAGACAUUAGCCAUUGAAAAAUAAGACCAUUAUGCAUAAAAUUUAGUAUAUUUUAUCAUCACGUGCAGCUCGAUCGAUUAGCUAGACUGGUAUUUAUUAGUCGAUUCAAUUAUAAAAUAAUCAAGAAACAUAAUUUAAAGUGGUUUCACAUUGUUAAUUAGUGUUAGAAAUGGAUAUUGGGUCCAUUCCUCCCUUAAAAGGCCUUAUAAGGCAGAGGGUUGCCUCACCAUAUAAAGUGGUUCAUGCCACUGCGCAGCGUGUACUAUCCCAAAUGCCAUCUGUUGACAACGAUAUUGGAGAGGGCCCAUCAUUNCACGCGCAGCGUGUACUAUCCCAAAUGCCAUCUGUUGACAACGAUAUUGGAGAGGGCCCAUCAUUGAAUUGGGUUGGCUUUGAUACCAUGUUAGAAAUAUGGAUAUUUGGCUCAUUCCUCCCUUAAAAGGCCUUAUAAGGGAGAGGGUUGCCUCACCAUAUAAAGUGGCUCAUGCUCCAAUCCAAUGUGGGACACUUUAAUAGAAUCGUUAGAUCAUAUGUAACUACUCUUUAAACGUAUAUGCAUGGAAAUCCGAAUAUUGUAGAGCAAAUUUUGAGAAAUUAGACUCCCAAUAAACCAUCGUGGCAUCGCCUGUUCACAUAUAGAGUGGCACCCAUUCUCGAAACCACUUUUUAAGACCACAAUUUAUAUGUAUAAAAUCACUUUAAACCACUUCUAAAUUAUCGAAAAUGUUUUUUUUUAAAUCUUGGAACUAUCGAUUUUAUAUCAAUUGCACAUUUCGUCCAUUUUCACUCUGAAUUUUCAUCAUUUGCACCUUUUCAACUAUUUUCAAUCUUUGAAUUAGUAAGGCAUAUAAGCAACGUUUUGUACAAUGUAAGUUAAAAAAAGGUAACAAUAAUAAUUCUAUGUACAUUGUAGUAUCCGGCGAGCACGCGUUUCUUCAUACAAAAGUUUCUUCAUACAUUAUCAAAGUUAACAACAGUCGAUCAUCGUUUUGAGCACCCACCCAGAUCUGCCGUUCCAAGCACGCGAGCCACCGUCGCCCCACGCCACCCACCACCCAAACAUGGUUUUCGUACCUCAAUAUCGCAUGAAUUGUUGUCUUUUUCCCCCUUGAAUUGAUUGCUAAUAUGUGUUUGUAUCCCAAUUUAAAGUUUUGUGAAGUUUUGAUUUCUUGGUGUAGUUUUGGAGUGAUUUCAGAAAAAAUAAAGGAUUAAUUGGAGGAUUUUGAAGACAUGAAAUUUAAGUACGUCUCGAGAGGAAUCCGUGAGCGCAAACGGCGACCAAAUCCGAGUUCGGACGAGGGAGAACGGAGCCGAACAAGCGGACUGCGCAUAAAGCCCAGGACCCCGCGGUCCGGGCCGCGGCCACGGGCCCGACCGCGGGCCUCUGCUCCAGAGCAGUCCAGAACGUUUUUUUACAGUCACCCGCGGUCCGAGCCGCGGCCGCGGCCCAUGACCGCGGCCUCCCCUGCUUCCAGCCGCGUUUUCAGCCGCGGUUCAUGCCGUGACCGCGGGGAAGAGGCGGGGAUCCGCCUUUUGGUGGGCCCAGACGUGAUUUUUAGCCCAAAACUCCAUUUUUUCCCCUCUUUUCUCAUAUCAUUCACCACACACACCCACUUCAUCUUCCCCAACAUCUCCAAUCCCAAACCCUAGCCUCCAUUCUCUACCAUUUUUUCUCUCUUCCACACACAAAAACAACACCAAAAUCAAAUAAAGAAGGGGAAGACUUGGAAAGGAGCUCAUCAAGACUACAUGAUUGAAGAUCAAGAUUAUAGGAUUUGUCUAUGAAUCUCUAUCUCUCUAUAUCUUUAUUUAUGUUUUCUUAUGACUUGAGAUUUGUUUUUAUUAUGAAUAUGCUUGGCUAAAAUCUUUUAUCUUAGGGAUUAGAUUAGAUGGAUUUGUAAUGGAUUGAUUUCUUUGUUCAAUAUAUAUCUUGAUUGUGCUUAUUGUUAUCUUUUCAAGUCCUAGAUUUAUCUCUUGUAUGAUUGGUUGGCCACCUUUUGUGCAUUUCUAAUUUGUGAUUUGAAUCGGGAGAGGAUAAUUACAAUAGAUUAGGAGUUUGAUACAUAUCAUCUCAAUAAACCGGGAGGUUGAGAGGUGGGUGAGGGCUUGUUGAUCUUUUGUGCUCUUGGGAGUUAUAGGUUAGAAAUUGACCGGGGACGGCAAUUAUGACCCGUAAUCUACUGUUUUAGUCGUCCGGGAGGGGGCUAGAACUAGUGGGGAGAUCGCCCUAGAUAAGUAGGCCAUAUCAAGAUUAAUAUUCCUUUAGAUUGAAGUUCAUUACGAUCCAUCGAAAUCUAGUCCCUAGGAUAACUUUCCUUCGAGUCAUUCCCCAAUUUAUUAACUAAGUUUAUCUUGUUGUUAUUUUAUUUAUUUGCUUAUUUAGCUUUGUUUUAGUUCUCAAUAUCUCUUCAUCUUUGGUUGUCUAAAUAGAUUGAAAACAACUUAUUAAUAGUAUUUAGAAGUUUAAAUUCACCAAUCCUUGUGGAAUACGACCUUGCUUCCCUUAUAUUGCAACUACACCGUAUACUUGCGGCGUGGUGAAAAUAAUAGCGAACACGUAGGCAGUUUGGCCGAACCACGUUAAAUAUCGGUGUCAUUAUUUUUCCCGUCUUAGAUAAUUUAUAUCUUUGAUAUUGCUUUCGAUUUGAUAAUGGGCGGAAUUAUUUGUGUAUAUUUCCCAACAGGAACGCCAUCGUGGCGAUCAGCACCACCACCACCAUCGUCAUGUCGUUUAUCUUGAGAUGGGAUUUCAGCGAUCGCUGCUUGAUUAGCAAACUUUGUAAGAUCCUUUUCAUCUCUGAAUUGGUGGUUGUGGGUGGAGAGCACUCUUUCGAGAUAUCCAGCGCCGUUUUGCCCAUGGAAUUUGGUGUUAGCUUCUCUAUUUUAUUGCUUUCAACCAAAUAUUGUACCAUCUGAGAUUUGGAAUCAUCCUCAUCAAUGUAUUAGUCGACCUAGCGUUAUCAAUCGAUUGCACUUUCAUAAUUUAUGAGGGGUAAAAUACGUAUUUUAAGAUAUUAUUAAAGAUAAAAAUUACUCCCUUCUUCGUCCCAAUAAUAACGUUCCCAAAAAAAUGGGUCCCAAAAAAAUGAGACACACAAAUUAAAAAAUAUAGAUAAAGUAAUUAGGAGAGACUGUAGUGGAAAAGUAAUAGAGAGAUAAAGUAAAUGAGAAGAUAGAUAAAGAUAGUAGAUAAAAUAAAUUAUUUUCUUUUUUGGAUUGAGACAUAUUAUAAGUGGAACGUCCAAAAAGAAUAUUUGGGACGUUAUUAUUGAGACAAAAGGAGUAGUUAUUAAUAUAAUAAAAAUAAAAGAUAAUUACUCUUUUUAUUUUAUUCUUCAAUUCAUAACCAAAAAUAGGUUUAUAUAUUUAUGAAUUGUUCUUUAAAAAUGAUAGUUUCCAACCAAGAAUAUAUAGAUUUAAUUGUGAAUUGCCUUAUUUAAAGGGUAAUUCAACCAAACUUAUUCUUUGUGAAUUAUCCUAUACAUAUAUUUAAGGGGAAAUUGACAAUAAAGAAGAAUAGAUUUGGUCGUGAAUUACUUUAUUUAAAGGGCAAUUCACAACCAAAAUAAGUUUGAUCUUUAAUCUAGUUUUUAAUUUGUAAAUAAAGGACAAAGAAAAAUACAUUUUUAAUUUUUUUUAUAUCUUUACUAUAUGUAAAAUGGUUAUUUUCAUACAUUAACUCUAUUAUUUAUUAUGUUGACUUUGUUUCACAAGCAAUGUACAACAUGCAGUAUAUUUUGUUUUUUCUUCAGAGUUGGUAUAAGUCACCGUUGCCCCAUAUUUUUAAGAACAUAUAUAUAAGACCACGCUUGCUCUUUUUACAUAAUUCCAGCAACAAAUAGGAGAAACACAUAAUUUUUCAAUCAUGUAGAUUUCAAUAAGAUCGUCCCAACCUAAGCCUAUUGAGCCAUAACAUAUCAUAAUGCUGAAUACCGAUAUCAAAUUCAACAAAUAAAAGAGUUAGUUGAAUGGUUCAUACAUACCACAAGUUGAUUGCACCUAACAGCCAAAUGCAAGAGUGUCUCGCCAUCGUCAUCCUUUGCAUACACAAGCUCUCCCAAUUUCUCCACCAAAACCUUCAAUGUCGUAAGCUGGCCGUGUUUCACGCACAGGUGCAACACAGUCUGCCCGCGAUGCAGUCUCUCCAUAGCAGGUAUAUGACUCACUUCAAGCAGCACCUUCAACGCCUCCUCAUGCCCAUUCAUGGCUGCAACAUGAAUCGGGUUCAUAUCAUGACAGUCUCGCCACCAGCACGCCUCCGGAGCUACUGAUAACAAUUUUUUGGCGAUUUCAGCAUGCCCUUGUGCAGCUGCGAUGUGGAGAGACGACGACUUUUUGGAGUCAACGUCUCGAGCUAGCUCUGAGUUCAUCUUCAACAGCUCUUCCACGAUGCCCACUUGUCCACGCAUCGUUGCUAUAUGUAGAAGGUUUCUUGAACGUGCGUAUGAAACCUCAUCAACAAGAUGUGGAUCUUGUUGCAGCAGCACUUGGAAAGUUGCGACAUCUCCCUUUGUUGCAGCAUCGUAUAGUUUCUUUUCUGCUGCUGCUUCUCCAACCAUUCUUUCCAACUUUAUUAAUGGCGUUCUCAGAUUUUUCCUUUUUCGCCUCUUUUUUACAUACAAGUUAAUUUGUGAUUUGCGAACUCAUGCAUAGUAUAUGAUAUAUAUAUGUAUAUUCACACACACACACGCAUUAAAAUAAGACUCGCUAUAAAAAUGUUU